GAUGAACGCUGGCGGCGUGUCUAAUACAUGCAAGUCGAGCGAACAGAUAAGGAGCUUGCUCCUUUGACGUUAGCGGCGGACGGGUGAGUAACACGUGGGUAACCUACCUAUAAGACUGGGAUAACUUCGGGAAACCGGAGCUAAUACCGGAUAAUAUUUCGAACCGCAUGGUUCGAUAGUGAAAGAUGGUUUUGCUAUCACUUAUAGAUGGACCCGCGCCGUAUUAGCUAGUUGGUAAGGUAACGGCUUACCAAGGCGACGAUACGUAGCCGACCUGAGAGGGUGAUCGGCCACACUGGAACUGAGACACGGUCCAGACUCCUACGGGAGGCAGCAGUAGGGAAUCUUCCGCAAUGGGCGAAAGCCUGACGGAGCAACGCCGCGUGAGUGAUGAAGGUCUUCGGAUCGUAAAACUCUGUUAUUAGGGAAGAACAUACGUGUAAGUAACUGUGCACGUCUUGACGGUACCUAAUCAGAAAGCCACGGCUAACUACGUG
rnacentral:rRNA from 1 species